rnacentral:rRNA from 1 species
UGGGGAAUAUUGCACAAUGGGCGGAAGCCUGAUGCAGCAACGCCGCGUGAGUGAUGAAGGCCUUCGGGUUGUAAAGCUCUGUCUUUUGGGACGAUAAUGACGGUACCAAAGGAGGAAGCCACGGCUAACUACGUGCCAGCAGCCGCGGUAAUACGUAGGUGGCAAGCGUUGUCCGGAUUUACUGGGCGUAAAGGAUGCGUAGGCGGAUUUUUAAGUGAGAUGUGAAAUACCCGGGCUUAACUUGGGUGCUGCAUUUCAAACUGGGAAUCUAGAAUGCGGGAGAGGAGAAUGGAAUUCCUAGUGUAGCGGUGAAAUGCGUAGAGAUUAGGAAGAACACCAGUGGCGAAGGCGAUUCUCUGGACCGUAACUGACGCUGAGGCAUGAAAGCGUGGGUAGCAAACAGGAUUAGAUACCCUGGUAGUCCACGCCGUAAACGAUGAGUACUAGGUGUAGGAGGUAUCGACCCCUUCUGUGCCGCAGUUAACACAAUAAGUACUCCGCCUGGGAAGUACGAUCGCAAGAUUAAAACUUAAAUGAAUUGACGGGGGUCAUAGCUGUUUU